CUACGGGCGGCACCAGUGAGGAAUUUUGCGCAAUGGGGGAAACCCUGACGCAGCAACGCCGCGUGAGCGAAGAAGGCCCUCGGGUCGUAAAGCUCUGUCAAGUGGGAAAAAAAUUUUUUGAUCAAUAGUCAAAAGACUUGAUGGUACCACUGGAGGAAGCACCGGCUAACUCCGUGCCAGGCAGCCGCGGUAAUACGGAGGGUGCGAGCGUUGUUCGGAUUUACUGGGCGUAAGGAGCGUGUAGGCGGUUUAGCAAGUCAGAUGUGAAAGCCCUGGGCUCAACCCGGGAAGUGCAUUUGAAACUGCUUCACUAGAGUAUGGGAGAGGAGAUUGGAAUUCCUGGUGUAGAGGUGAAAUUCGUAGAUAUCAGGAGGAACACCCGUGGCGAAGGCGAUUCUCUGGACCAAUACUGACGCUGAGACGCGAAAGCGUGGGGAGCAAACAGGAUUAGAUACCCCCGUAGUC
rnacentral:rRNA from 1 species